AGAACCAUAGGGAGGCUCAUCAGAAGCAGCUCAGCAGCCUCUGAGACAAGAUCGAUGCUGGACGAACUCACAAAACUGCUGAAUGAACAAAGGGACUUGAAGAGCCUGGAGGAGACAAGAACUGGAACAAACACUUGCGUUCCUUGAGAUCCUUCAGCACCGCCGCUCAACGGCACAUCUGACACAUCUGGGAACCAAGAGUGGAUUAAGUACUCUGUGUCUACAAGUGUUUCUGAAAAAAUGAGAGUGCGUGAAGGGCUGAAGAAUGGAAGCCAUGCCACAAGCCCGGACUGGCGUGUUCAAAACUGAGGAAAUAUGUGACCAGCAACAAUUUCAACAGCAUUUAUGACUGGAGGGCGUCGCGUGUUGAUUGCAAGCUGAUGUUAAUGGUUUGGUAAAGCUGUCAUUGCCAGCUACUGAUCAAUAUUAUAACAAACUGCUGCUAUAAUAAAUUCUCUGUAGUGAUGAGUACUGGGCAUUGUUAAAAUCUCUCAUAAAAUAUCAGCACUGUUGUCUAGAGCUACUACUGCACAUGAACUCUGAUGGUUUGAAUCCUAUAGAGUUAAUUGUUGAACCUUUCCACUCCACCUUUUCCUCUUUAGUAGAUAAUGUCUGAUUAACUGCACACUCCACAUGGAGUCCGUUUCUCUGAGGAAGCUGUUUAUCUACUGGAAUGCUCCAGGAAAUAGUAAUAAAAAAAGAUGCAAGCAUUGUUCAUCUGCAAAUAUAAAUCUUGGACAUGCAACUGCAAUCAAAACAGUGUUUAGUGAAGUGAGAUACGAGUGGUUUACACUUGUCCCUCUCAGUGUGAGCCUCACCACAGAUGGACAUCAAAGUGUUGGAUGGAGAUGAAGCAUAGUGGACCCAGCUGAUUGAGCACAUCCACCUUUAUCUUGAACUUCCCUCCGGCCAGCUGCUGAGCAGAGUCUGCACCAGCUGACCACACACAACAGAUACUGGAUGGGACUGUAUACACACAUACAAGAUAAUAGAUUUAAAACCUGGCAGCGCAACAUUCACAGACACUACAUUCAUUCCGUAGCACACAACUGAGCCAACUGAAACUCCAGACCUAGAGUAAGCAUAAACUUUAUUAGUUUUAUCCCAAAAGGGAUCUCACUUAGGAUGGGAUACCCCAACUACAUCUUCCACUGAGUUCAUCAAUCACCCAAAGCUGAAACGUCUGCACUGUAUGUUCUGGUGGAAGCAAUGUGUAUCUAAUAAAAACAGUGGAAGUAGCCAGAAGGAAGGACAAGAAAAUGUAGGACAAAAUAGAUUGUAUAUCUUUCAAGAGAACAUAGAUAAGUUUCAGUUUUUCGGAAAGAACUGUCUGACGGGAAGAUAAAGCGGUGAAAAUAUUCUAAAUAUAGUGUACACUUAAACUGAUAUUGUUUUUUUUAGGUGAGCUUUUCUUUUAGGUGGCUGAAAUACAUUUUUCUGCCGUCCCCGUCCACAGCAGCA